UCAACCUGAUACAAGCGUCAUCUGGAAAGAGGAAGUUAAAUUGAGGAAAUGCCUUCAUUAGAUUGUUGUAGGCUUGCCUGUAAGACAAUUUCUUGAUUAAUGAUUGAUGUGGGGAGGAGCAGUUCACCAGGAUAGUGCGACUCCUGAGCAAGUGGCGCCCUCUAAGAAAGCCAUGAGCAACAAGAAAAAUCCCAAGCUCAUGGAAUCAUGCCACCCAUUCUUCUGAUAGUUCUUCUCAUUGUAAUUAACAAAACCUAGAAAAAUUAUCACAUACUUGCCUACAGAUUCGUCUCCAAGGAUGAAGCACCUGUUAAAAUACUUGGCAUAUUCUAAUAUUGAGUCAUUUGUCUGACACCAGAAGUAAGAGUUAUUUAAAUUUAUAAAGUAGACAUCAUGUCAGGUAUUUGUCACAGAAUGAAGAAAAUUAACUAAUUUGGAAAACUGUUAUCCAGCCAUGUUUCCAUUGCCAUGGUAAGCCAAACCAGCUAGUAGUCAUGUUUUUUGUUUGUUUGUUGUUUGUUUGUUUGUUUUUAAAAUAGGUUUGUGGGUAGAAUGAGAUUAACCCUGAAAAAUCCCUACAAAUUUAGCCUAGAAAAUUCGGCUUUCAGCAGAGCUUAAUAGUCAGGUUGAUAGGAAAUCAGAAGACCACGUUAGCAAUAAUGAUAUGGAUAAUGAAGGCUCAAAAAGUAUCCAAAGUGACUAUAUACAUUAUCAGGAAGAGCUCCAGAAUUCAUUCAUAUUAUAUUCUGGUAAGAAUGUGGCGAAAUAAUACCUAUGUUUUGAGUGAUACUGAAUUCAAUAUAAUGGAAAACUUUGACAGCAGUAGAUUCAAUUCAAGAUAGCAUUCGGUACAUGCCAUGGUUAAUUCAUACAAUUUGUAUUCACUUUUCCAAUCACACAAACUGAAAAAAUGGAGGAACAAUGCUUAAGAAACUGAAAGUUAAAGAUUUAAACCUACAGAUAGUGAGGUGGAAACAGUUGCUAUGUUGCUUUAAAAAAUUAUACUGUUAAAGAUACUCAUGCUCUGAAGCUAAACAAUAAGAAGGGUACUAUAAGGGCAAAAUAUUACCAACAGAGACUUACAUAUGAAGGGAAAGAGCAUAGUUUGAGAAUGCUGCUAAGGGGAUCCUGUGUAAAAACAGCUACCUAUGUACACCUAUGUACACAGAGGCUACUACAGACUUUAUACAAGCAAGAAAGUUAUAUAACUCAUGUUUACAGCAGAACUUGGCAACAUCAGUCAUAUCAUACAGCUUUUCCAGGAAUGAAUGAUGCAAUAUUCAUGUGAUCAUGGAAUCUGAAACCAAGUUUUGAGAAAGCUGUUAGAUUAGGAAGCAUGCGGUAUAGGUAUAAUGUUAGGAAAGAUCUCUUAAAGGACCACUACAUGAAGAUUUAAUAAUGCAGAUCAAGUUUCAAUGUAGAAUUAAAAAUUUUGGAGAUGUCACAACCACAGGUUGUCCAAAUAUGAAAAGCUACAUUCAGAAGCAGAAAUAGCUAGAGAGAAAGGUUCUGUGCUGCAGGUGGCUGAACUGGAGGGAGGAGGGUCUACCUGAGCUCCUUGGAACACAGAUGAUUUCUCAUGGCCUCUUGACGCAGUUUUUGUUUGAUUGAGCUUUGUGUGUUUGGAAUUAGAAUGGUUCCCAUAUGCUCAAAUUUUAAAUUCUUGGUGACUAGUUGGUGGAACUAUUUUGGCAAAAUUAGAAAGUAUGCCCUUGUUGGGAGAGUUGUAGUUGUGGCCCUGCUAAACAUGGUGAGCCACUGGGGUGAACUUUGAUAUUUCAAAAGCCAAUGCUCUCUCUGUGUCUCUGUCUUCCUCCCUCCCUCCCUCCCUCCCUCCCUCCCUCCUCCCUACUCCCUCCUCUAUUCCCUCCCUGACUGUACCCUCACUCCCUCUAACUCUUCUUUUUGCUGUGUCUGUCUCAAACUCUCAUGUAAGAUGUAAGCUCUGAGCUACUACUACAGACAGAGUUAUGUCUGCUGGCUCUUGCCAGGUUUCUUGCCAUGACUCUGAUAAUGAUAACGAUAAUGAGUUCACCCUCUGAAUAUUUAAGUAAUCCCCAACAAAACUUUUUUUCGAGUUGCUUAUGUUCAUGUUUUUCUCAGCAUGGAACAGUAAGACACUGUUUUCUCUAUAUCCUUGUUGCUUACUUUUGGAUGUGGAUGUGUAUUCUGUCAUUGCAUAUCACAGAUAGAUAACUUGCAUUUUGAUGUUAUAUAACCUCAUACCUAAGUGAUUCCCUUGGUCUCAGAAGAGACUAGGAUUUGUGAUUUUCAACAAUGCUUAGUCUGUUAAAGUUUACAGUGCUGUUAGGGCUAGAUGGAUGGCUAAGUUUAUAUAGUGCCGGUUUUAGAAGCAUAAAAUCUUGCAUUCAAUCUCCUCAAAAGCUACCUUUAAAGGAAAGACAGCUGGGCAUAGCUGUGCAAGCUUGUAAUCCCAGUACUGGAGAGGUAGAGACAAAUAGAUCCUGUUAUUCAUAGACAGAUUACCUAGUAUACUUUGAAAGGUCCUGACUACCAAGGAAAUCAUCUUAAAUAGCAUAGUAACAUCAUUUAAAACAUUUCUGAUUUCCACACACAAAUACACACAGUACAGAUUUAUGCAUACAUGCAUGUACUUUCAUAUACAUCAACAUACAAAGCCACAGAAAAACUAUGGAGAUUUUUGAAAUUGGAAUAUAUGAAUUUUUGUUAUUAGGUGACCACGAGUCUAUAUGAAUCAUGGGUAUUUUGAAUAUGGAAUGUCUGUAUUUGAACUGCCAGUCCUCAGUUAUUGCCACUGCUUUAGAAGGUUAAAUAACUGUAGGUAGGUGGUGCUUCCUUGGAGGUAGGAGGUCAGUAGCCAUGAGUCUUGAAGUUUUCUGGACUGGCUUCCUUUCCUGUUCUUUACAGUUUUCUCAUUGCAUAUGCAAUGUAAUCAGCUGGCUUGCAUUUCUGUGUUCAUGCCUUCCUCAACAUUAUGGACUGUAUUCCUCCUUAAACUAUAAGCCAAAACAUACCACUAAUCUAUUCUCAAUUAUUGAAUUAACAAUAUAAAUUUAAUCAGUUAUUGCAGUAUUUUUCUUUAUAAAAUGAUAGUUUAUAUACCAUGCUUUAAAAUAACUACUUUUUUUAGUUUUUUUCAUAGCUUCUUGUCUAUAGUACUACACCACAGAACUAGUAUGAUCAGACUUACAAAUUUGAAUAGCAUACCAAUUUACCUAAUGAGAUUUUUUAGACUGUUAUGAAAAGGGCUUAAAUACAACCCUAAAAUACAUGACUAUCACCAAUUCAUCACCCUUCUCAUUCAGGCUUAUCAGCAGCUAUCAGGAGUUGAUAUUAGUCAAUUGGCAAUAUGACUGUCAAUUCUUAAAGAGUUUAAGUAUUUUUAUCUCAUUGGAUAUUGAAAUAGCAAUGAAAAUUAUUAGAAUUAGAUAUCUGUGCUAUAAUCACUAUUUUUUAUUAAACAGAUAUUUUGAAUUACUUUCUCAAACUUUGAUCUAUAUAACAAUUAUUCAAAAUGGAUUUAUUACCUACUCAAAAUUACAUAAGCUAUACAUUCUGAAUCACUUUGGAGGUCAGAUAAUAAUAUAUUCUUGAGUGAUUUAGAAUUUACUGUAUAACUGUUUAGUCUAGAUACAAUGUCAGCAGUAAACUACAAUAAAGUGAAUUCCUUUGAAUUUGUUAUAUGAAUACAAAAAGGUAGAUGUGUGUAUAUACAUAUUCACAAAUGCAUAUGUAAAUUGUGUGUACACAUAGUGAGAAUGAGUCAUAUUUUUUAUUUCACUAUUUCUAUACAUGGAGUUUUAGAGUCAUAAGGGAGGUCAGCCAUUAUAUUUUUACUUAAAACACAUUUAGGUAUGUUAAUUAUAAGGAGCCCUAUACAAUGUAUACAAUGUUAACUUUGCAAAAAUAUAGAUCACUUCAUCAUAUAAAAACUUCACAAAUUGGGAAGAGUAGAUAUUGCUGUUAUUGAUUCUGGAAAGUAGCGAUUAUACAUUACUCAGAACACAGCAUCAAAAUGAUCAUUUUUCUGUCAGUGUUUUCACUGUGAGAACGUUCCUUGUAGGCUUUUAAGGGAGCAGUUAUUCUUUGUCAGGUUGAGGGCAUUCAAGUGAACCAAAAGGUCAAUCUAAUUAAAAAAGAGAAAGAACUUCAAGCCACAAGGGGAAAAAGAACCAGCUAAAUGCCAAGGAAUUUAUAUUACUGAAUGCAUGAGGUAAACAGUCAAACAAUGAGAUGAAUGCUCAAAGGUGUCAAAGAAGAGAGAAAGGGUAUGCAGUGACCUUUACAUUAUUAUUUUUAGUAAAUUAAAUGAUAUUUACUCCUUGAAAGAGAAACAGUGUGCAUUAUCUAGAUUUAAAAUAUAAUUAAUUUUUACUAUGGCUUAGUUUUGUAAAGCUUUAUUUUCCUCGAGUGGUUGAAAAAUAUAACUGUGAAGCAUUGAGCAGGGAAGCUAAAUUAAAUUCACCAUUCUGUGUGAAUAACUCUUCAAAAAGAAAUCAUUUUAAUUUUAUUAUUCUACUCUAAAAUUACUAGUCAUGAAAUACUGCUAAAGUUCAGAGAUACUGCUUCAAGACUGUAGUUCAAAACUUCAGUGUUAGUAUAUUUAUGUUAGUAUAUUUAAAAAGCAAAGCAGUAAUGCAGGUAGUAGCUGGACACUCUUAUUCUCUUUUUUUUCCUGCCAUUCAUUCUUUUUGUUGCUUGUCACUAUACAUCUAGAAGUGGCAAUGUAGCUAUGUUUUAUUAGGUCAUAGACAAGAGGAACGAUCUUUCUGAUUUACAUAUUUGAUUUCCAAAGUGAUUCAAACUCAUAACUUAGUUAAAUGUUUUUGGUAGAAGUCUCUUCAUUGUCAACUCACUACAUAUUGAUGGGAGGGGAAACUUUCAUUAGAAAUUAUAUUAUCAACACUAAUUUCUUGUCUGAAUUGACAUAGGCAUUUUGCCAUUGGCUACACCUAAUACUAUAUUGUGAAAAUCAAAAUAAACUAAAAUGUUCCUACAAAUCAAUGAUCUUCUUUUGGCCUUGUCGACAAAAAUAUUCUUUAAUAUUUUUGAAGUCAGAUAAUUUAUAAUCGUAACAGAGUUCAGCAUUCAUUUCCCAGGCCUGAAACUCAAGUUCAUGAACACAUUAUAAAAUAAACACCAAAUUUCCCAUCAAGUCUAUCAACAGAAAGCACAGCUGCUACUUCAAGGUGAGUGAGAAGUCAUUCAUUUCUGAGUUAAAUGUGAAUGACUAUGACACUUUAACAUGGAUCCAGCCUGUGCUAUCCACUAUGAUCCAAUGUAAACAUGGUUACAAAAAUAUUUAUAGUCACAUAACAAAAUAAAUGCAUAUGUAUUAUUAAAUAUAUUCAUAUUAAUAUUGUAUAGAUGAACUAAAAGUAUCUGGGAAUCUUUUUACAUACCACCUGAUGACACUCUCUAUUGGGUCAUUAGGAGCUGGCAUGUUGAAUCACUAUCUUCCCACAUGACUGACCUGAUAGUAACACAUAGGUUAUAUUAGACACAAAUGUGAGAAGUAACUUACAACAAAGGAACCAAAGGUAGCUCAAGAUAAUCUCAAUUUUGCCAACAUUUCCAACUUUCCACAAUCAUGAACUUCUCAUUAGUGUUAGAGAUAUUUUAACUCACAGGUGCAAUUUUUUUCUGGAAACUUUACUCCACAUUCUCAUUCUUUUCUUUUUGGGUGUUAUCUGCACUUAUUUUAAUUUUAUUCCUUAUACAAUGCUUUAAUUCUUUACUAUAAAUGGAACUCAAGCUCCUUGGGCAAGUACAUUUUGACCAUAAUACCAUGCCACUUCAGCACUGUACCCUGUCUUGGUUCUUUUUUUUUUUUUAUUGUACAAGUGUCACUUAGAAUCCCGAAUGUGGCCCAUUAAGUAGUCCAAAUCAUGAAUGUGCUUAAAUUCCAAGCUUUUUAUGUUUGCUUAUAGCUCUUGAAAAUUUAGUGAGUGGGCCGCUGCCCCACUUAUAACUAGCUCUUAAACGUUUUCCUUGAUUUACAGCAUUGUUGAAGCAUUAAGUAAUCUGUCAGUGUUUCCAGCUUUAAGUCAUAAGCAAUUGCCACUCUGAAGAAAAACAGAAAAUCGUCAUGAAGUUGGUAAUUCUGUGUCCAUUUUUAAGCCUGUCAACUGCUCUCUGAACUACAGACACUUUCUGUGAGAUCAAAUAUUUACUUUCAAAACUCAAAACAUUGAAAAUUUAAAAGCAAAUUUGGAGAAUGGCAUUUUGCUCAUGUUUGCUUUGCAAUUUUUCCUAAAAUCCAGAAGUAGAGAUGCUCAUUUUUAAAACAAAACUAGGCUCUUGUAAAGUGUAAAAUGAUGUUGAUGUGUUAACAUAGCUGUGCAGACAAUGAGUUGGUUAGUUUCAUGAAAGUGUAAAAGUGAGCACUCCUUUCUCAUUGGCCAUCUGUGUAACUCUUGGAGCAUUUGCAGAGCUCACUUUUUGUAUGAAUCCUAAGGUACAGAUGACCUCCUUGAGCAGGAAUAAGCUAAUGCGGAUCUUAGAAAUAAGGACACUGAAAAGCAGGUAGAAUCACAGUGAGACUGGCUUGUGAUGGAGUAUGGGAGAUUUUUUUCCCACACUUUAGCUAAUUAUUUUUGUACAUGGUUUUUGUCAUUGCUUGAUCAUGUAAAUAUUUUUAAAACUUUAUCCAUAUCCUAAAGAUUUACAAGUAUAAAUUUGGGCUUCCAAAUACUUAAGGCUUCAAGGCAUAUAAAGUCAGUCUUAUCUCCUGUUUCUAAGACUUAGUGCUUUGACGAAGUUUCUAUUGAAUAUAUUUGGAAAUCCUGAACAAAAGAAGACAAAGUGAAUAUAAGGAUAUAAGUUAUAAUAAACUCAAAAGAUAGUUGUAGUUCUCUGUUAGCACUAUAAAUUUUUAAAGAUGGAAAAAUGUAACACUAUUAAAGGACACACAUGAAAAAAAAUCAGCUUCUGUUAAGUAUUAUUUCAUUAUGUACCCCUACUAUUUUUUAAAGUUUUAUUUUAUUUAUUCCAUGUAACUGAGUAUACUGUUGCUGACUUCACACACACAUGAAGGGGACAUUGGAUCCCAUUAUAGAUAGUUGUGACCCACCAUGUGAUUACUGGGAAUUGAACUCAGGACCUCUGGAAGAGCAGUCGGUGAUCUUAACUGCUGAGCCAUUUUUUCCAGCCCCAUCCCUAAUAUUUUAUGUAUAUUAUUAACUCCAAGAACAUUUUUGUGAAUAAUUACUUUAUGAUUAUUUUUUCAACAAGUUCACAGAUGUAGUGGUAAGUGCCCUGCAAAGACUACUUUGAAAGUUUGACUUGUACUGUCCAUAAUAGGAAGGAGAGAUUGAUUAUAUUACAUGACUAUGAACAAAAGAUGCUGUUUAUCUAAAAUCUAAGGAAAAAUCUUUAUUAAAAUUCAGCAAUUCAUGGAGUGUGGAGGUAUGGUGAGGUGGAGGGUGGGGAUGGGCCUGGAGACACCGUUAUGGAGACAGGAAAGGAGGUAUGGGUUGUGGAAGAGUCAGAGGGUGGACUGGGAAGGGGAUAAAAUCUGGACUGUAAAACCAGAUUAAAUAAAAUUAAAAAAGAAAAAAAGUUCAACACCCCAUGAGGAGUAUAGAUGAUAAUGCAAGACAUUUCCAUCUUAAUGCAUCUGUCUUCUAUACACCACAGACUACAAGAGUAGAUUUUUUAUGCCUCUGACAUAACCAAUAGGAGCACACAUCCUCAAACACUGGCAGUGGUUUAAACAGAUUAUAUACAUUUGACUUUCGAAUGUUUCCUUUCUCUGUACAAGAAUAUAAGACAGAGAUCUCUUGUGGAAUACAGUUACCUUUUGUUCUUUCCCCUCCACCCCCACUGAGCUAAGAACUGGACCCAGGUCCUUGUGCUUGCUAGGCAGGAAUUCUAUUUCUGAGCUAAACUCCCAACUCCUCUGGUGGAAUACAACUGAUAGAAAUCAUAAGCAUUAUAAAUCAAGAUUCAGAUCUGGAGACUAUUAUUUAUUUCCACUAUUUAGGUUUUUGAAAUCUAAUAUUUUUUAGUUCUUUACAUGUUUUGGAUGUUUCUUCUCUGUCACAUAUCUAAUGGUAAAAAAAAAUCUUUGAUAUUCUGUAGUUUGUUGCUUAGUCUGAAAAUGGUGUUCUUUGCUUUAUAGAGACAUUGUAUUAUCAUGAAGAUCUACUUAUUUAUGGUCUAUUUUAGAGUGUAUGCUAUCAGCAUUAAGGAGGAUCUUCUGAGCCAAUGAGUUCAAAGCUAUUCAUUCACUGCUUUCUUCUCUAUAAGAUUCAAUGUAUCUCAUUUCAUGUUGAUGUCUUUGAUCCAUUUGAACCUGAGUUUUAUGAGGAUAUAUCUAUUUGCAUUCUUUUACGUACAGACAUCUAGUUUCACCAGCACUAUUUUUUGAAGAGGCUGUCCGCUUUUCCAGUGUGAAUUUCUGGGGUUUUUAUUAAAAAAAUAGUAGCUGUUCAUAAGUGUGUGGAUUUAUGUAUGGGUCUUCACUCUGAUUCCAUCCUUCCAUCUACCAGUUCUAUGCCAAUGCAGUGUAGUUUUUAUUGUGAGAGCUUUGUAAUAUCACUACAAACCACAACAAAGGGUGAGAUACACAGUAAUUCUUUUAUUGUUCAAUAAUUUUCUCUAUUAUCCAAUAGAGAAAAGUCAAAUACCAGAGAAAUAAAUGUUUAAAAACCUUAGAGAUCAGAGAAAUGCAAAUUAAAACUUCAUUGGGAUUACAUCUUAUGCCCAUCAGAAUGGCUAAUAUCAAUAACACAAGUGGUAUCUCCUACUAGCAAGGAUGUAGAAUAAAGAGAACAGUCCUCUACUCCUGGUGUGAGUACAGAAAGAUGGCGGUUCUCCCAAAAGGUGGAGAUCAAUCUACUACAAGAUUCAGUUAUGCCACUCUUGACCUAAAGGAUGCUUCAUUCUACCAGAGAGAUUUGCUGAACCAUGUUCAUUGCUGUUCUGUUCACUAUAGUCAGAUUGUUGUUCUUAUUUUUGGGAUUCUUUUUCUUUUGUUGAGUUGUCUUCUAUAGCCUCAACGUGUUGUUUUUUUGUUUAGUCCUACAUAUUUUAUGUUGUUAUGUUUCAUUCUUGUCUCCUAGAAGCCUAUUUUUUUUUAUGAAAGAUGGAAAGAGAGUGAAUCUGCAGAGGAGGGGAUGUAGAGAGGAAAUAAAAAGAUUAGAGGGAGGGAAAACAAUAUUCACAGUAUUUAUAUGAGAAAAGAAUCUAUCUUUAAUAAAAGAGAAAAAUAACAAAUAAAUUCAUAAAUAAAUAAACUUGGAUUACUAGAUUAUCUUAUACUAUAGGAGUUGGGUAGUCUGUCAAUAGUCAUCUGGAUACUAGAGAAGUGGAGAACUCUACAGCUGCUCAGUUCAUGGAUUUACAUAUCUCACCAGUCCUGAGGAGAUGUGGGAAUUUUGGUGUAUUCUUGAUGAAUUAUGAAUAUUAGAUCCAAAUUAUUAGUUCUAAUAAGCUAUAGUCUAAUGUCACCCAUGAAUAGUUACAGAAGCAGCAAACAUACCUAGUUGAAAUAAUGCUUUGAUAGUUUGAGUGAGAAUGACUCGGGGGAUCAUAUAUUUGAAUGUUUGGUUCACAAUUGCAUUAACUGUUUAGGAAGAAUUAGGAGAUAUAGUCUUGCUGAAGGAAAGGUUUAAUUUGGGAAGUGAGCCUAGAAGUUUCAAAAGAGUAGUACCAUUCUCGGUUUCUCUGCCUUCUAUUUGUUGAUCAAAUUGUGAGGUCACAGCUACUGCUCCAGUGUCAAGCCAGCUACCAUAAUCCGCACCAAGGUAGUCAUAGGCUCUAACCCUCCAAACUGUAAUCCCUACAUUAACUCUUUGCUCUAUAAGUUGCCUUGGUCAUGGUGUCUUUUUGAUGACCAAAGUGAAGGCAGAAAAUCAAUGCAACUUUGUCCUUGGACAUCUUUAUACCUAGGCUGUGUACUUGUUGGAUAUCCACCACUAUGAAAUUAAAUAUUACAUUUCAGCUAGCCUAUUCCAGAAAUGUUUCACAAAUGAUUCCACUAAUUUCAAGUCUAUAGUCAACAUUAAUUACCACAAUAUUACAGUAAAGUGCACACACACACACACACAUAUAUAUUUGAUAUAUAUAUGUACACACACAUACACACACAUAUAUAUGUAUGUAUAUGUAUGUAUGUACACACACACAUAUAUAUUUGAUAUAUAUAUGUACACACACAUACACACAUAUAUAUGUAUGUAUAAUCACAUACACUCAUACACAUAAUUUUGAUCUAUCAAGUUUAGUAAUGAUAUGCUUAAAUUUUCUGCUGUCUAGUGUUGCACUAUAAUUGUUGUCAUUAAACUUUCCUAUUGUAUCUUACUACAAAGUUAGGUACUCAUCCACAUUCAUUGCUGCUCUAUUCAUAAUAGCUAAGAAAUAGUAACAACCUUCAUGACCAUCGUCCAGUAACUAAAUAGCAACAGUGUUCUUUAUUUACACAAUGGAAUCUUAUUCAGAUUUGAAACAACAAACAAACAUGUAUUCUCAAAAUAAAUAGAUGAACCUGGAAAUAAUCAUACUAAGUAGGGUAAUCCAGAACCAGAAGUGUAAAUUACAUCUAUACUCAUGUGUGCUUGUCUUAAAAGAUAUGUAUACACUUGAGGUACUUACAGAUGGUGAGCUUAGUUGGUAGUGCUUUAAAAAAGAAAUUUUUCAAAGAAGGAAGAAUGCAAAGAUAUAAAGGAGGGAGUUGAAAUCAUGAAGCAAAAUUUCUAUAGUGUGCUGAAGAAUGUGAGAGCAUGGUAGGCAUGAAUCAGUGAGGGGGAUAACUAAAGUCAUUUUCAGAAGUUAAAAGGAAAUCUACUACUGAAAAGUUCUAAAAUAUAUAAAUAAACAUUAGUAAGCAGAGUUUGAGUAAAGUUACCUAAAUAUGGGGCAUAAACAUAAAUUAAAGGCCAACUCCAAGAAUGAGUCGUUUCUCUUGAACUUGUUGACCAGUGAGUUCAUAUAUGGCUCCUUAUAAAUUAUAGAGUAUUAACAAUGUUGCUGGUUUAUCUUCUAAACUUGAUGAUAAGACUUUAUUAUUAAAGACAGUAUGUGGAAAAAAAACCCCGUCUAAUUCAAGUUAGAGUCUACCAUAUCCAGAUAACUCCUCAAAUUAUCUACAUGUCCAGAUAGGCUCAAAAGGGAGCCUUUUAAUCAUCUGACCUUGUCUGGGGAACUUGACUUCCCACACCCUCUACCUAGGGAAACAUGCAAGUUCAGCUUCCUCUUUCCCAAUAAGACACCACCCAGCAAGUACCUGGGAUUCCUGGAAUGCCUCUCCAAACAAAUGGGGCUUUUUCAGAACUUUAACUUUCAGCUAAUUAAAUUUACCCUAAGAAAAACGCCUACCUCCCUCCAAGGCUCUGUAGCAUAUCUUAAAGUCCACCUCAAAUAAAAGUAUGGAUACAACCUAAAAUCAUUUGAGAGCUGUUCCAUUAAAAUCCUUGGAGAAGUCCUUCUCCCAUUAAGCACUUAAUCACAGCCAGAUUGAGAUCCUACAGACCUCACCCAUUAGGGGCUCUGCUUCAUCCUUUAAGCCUGCUAUCCUUCAAGUGUUAUCUGAACAUCAAGAGAGGAGUAGCACACACUCAUAAUAGAGCUGAUACCCAAUGUAUAUACUACAACAAUAAAUGUUUUUAUCAUAGAAUAGACAGAAUCCCUGCUGAGACUCCCUUAAGAAUUUUAUCCCUACUGGAUGCAUUUUACACUCUUACAAGUGCUAUGUAUAGUACUGAAGAAGCAAAGGAAUGAUCAGUCUCAUCCAGGUGUAAAUCCUGUAAACUUGAAUAAUGAGUAGACUAUGAACAAAUUCACAUUGGUUCAAUAGUAUCAUGAAUUUUAGGGGAAUAAUCAACAACUUUAUGAUUGGAUCUAAGACUCAUUCCACAAGAUUGAGCACACAUGUGGCAUUAAUCUUGGGACAAAUGACUAGAUAGCUAAUAGAUUUUGUACCAACUACUACUGUUCUUAUAAGUGGAUGAAGUAUUGACACAAAUCUUAAUGUUAUUUCUAUAUAUGUACAUUAAUGAACCUCUGAGCCCUAAUCAGAGGUUUUUCUUGCAGUAAAUAUCAGAAACCCAUAGCUAAUCAACAUAUGGAAAAUAAGAGACUGUCAAGUUUAAUGAGGAUAUGUCUCAGACUUUAUUAGCCCUAGUUGCAUUUCUCGGGUACACCUGUUUGGAAUCCAGCACCCACAUGAUAUUCCAUAACCAUUUAUACCUCAAGUCCCAGGAGAUACAAUGCAUUCUUCCAGCCACUAAGCACAGAUAGGGAGCAUGUACAUAUAUGUAAGCAACACAUUAAUACAUAGGACAUAUAAUAAAUAAUUUUUAUACUUAAGUAGAUUUUGAAUUACUUACUCCUAAAUUUGAUAUCUAUAUCUCAACUCUUUUCUCAAAGGUCUGAGUACAUUGGCUCCAGAGAAAGAAGAAGCAUUGUAAGGGUCAGAGAGUGUAGAUGACUACAAGAAAUUGUUCUGUGGAGACAUUGAAUGGAAACUGCUCCUAAGUACUCAUAAUAUUUGUGCUAACAUGUACAAAACCUGUGCUUGUUCCAGCCUGACAAAAUUCCAACAUUGAUAUAGGAGAGGGACCUGAAAUUUCACCCUACAUGAGGAGCUAUUGGUAAAUGAUAGAUGCUGAGAGUAAAUUCUAAUGUUUAAGUUUCUAGCCAGAGGUAAGUCAAUGAUGCAUUAAAGGAUGCCUUCGUGUCUAAAAAGGUUUGGGUGAUACAAAUUGUACUCAGUAGAAAAAAAAAUAAUGAGGUAGGGGUAUAUUUUAAAGGAAUCGGGAAGUAGAUAAAUAUGAUCAAAUGGCAUUUUAUAUAAUUCUUAAGGAAUUAAUAAACUACCAUUUUUAAAGUACAAUCAUUUUCCUGCUUCUGUGGUGAUUAUGCAUUUUGUAAUAUUUGUUUAAAAUAUUCCUCCAUGUGACUUAUACCCUUCUAGUUAAAAGUAAAAGUUUUAAACUUAGGGAUUACAUUGUUCAUUAAAUUCCCAACACUUCAUUUAUUCUAUGAACUGUUGUACUCUGCAAUAAACAUUGCCUACACGUACAAUUUUGAAACUGCAUAUAUGCAUUGAAUUGAUUUCUGAACUAAAAACAGGAAAAAAGAACAACAAGAAAUUAUCUACUUAACUGUUUUUUAUCUAGAAGCUGCAAUGUUUCUUGUUGAAACAUACAAUAUAGCAUAAACUACUCCACGGAUUAUACUUAUAUGAUUUCUGAAAGUCAUUGUUCUAAAAUAUCACAAACCUUGAGAAAAUCAGCUUUAAAAUUGGACAUUUACCUCCUCUUUCUCUAAUUUUUCACAGCCUAUUUUGCUACAGAGCAUGCAUGCCUCAUUCAUAAAAUGGCCAACUCUGUCAUAUGGAGUGACUGAGCCACCCCAGCAUUGUUGAAAUUCCUGAUGUUGAUAGUUGUCUAGUGCAACAAUAGUUUUGGCUAUCCCCAACACUGUACUUAAGAAAAGAGUCACAGGUCUAAUAGUGCUUCCCCAAAUGCAUAGGCUGUCACAUAUCAAAUAUAUGCCCUAGUUGCUAUGUUGUUCUAAGUCAUUAGAAAUCUUAAGGAAAUAUUUAUAUUGGUGAUAAAAUGCAUAGUAUUUUUGCAUUCAGAUCUAUUGAUUUGAGACUUUGAAUCACUUGCCAUCCCACUAUUUCUUUUUCUAUUUGUUCAAAACAUGAUAGGCAAUUGCUAACUUACCUGAAAGGAACACAUUUUCACUGAUUUCAUGGUCUUCUCACAUAAUUACAAAAUCAAAGCAAAGAAAUUUUUUGUAGUCUAGGGAGGAAAGAAGUUAUAUUUCAACCAACCGCACCAAUAACAUGUUUACCAUUUUCUGAGUUUACUUUUGAAGAAUUCUUUUAUUAAUGUAUUCCAUUGAUAGAUUUCUAUUUAUAUAAAUAAAUAACAUUAGCACUUGGUAUAGUUUUGCCUUCUGUGGGAAUUUUUACCAUCAAAUGAACUAAUUCACCUAUCAUGCCUGCGUGUAUAUAUGUGUGCAUGUAUUGUAGUGAGAAUACUGAAAACUUGUUCAUUCAACAAUUUCAAGUAGGCCACUUUUCACUAUACCUCCCUGUCUGACCACCCUUUCUAACACUGAUAAACAUCAUCCUUCUCUCUCCUUCAAUGAAUUAGGCUUCAUUGGGUUUAAGGUAUAAGUCAAGUCAUAUAAAAUUUGUGCACUGAUUUCUUUGCAUUGCAUAACUUUCUCCAGGGAUAGCAGUAUCAUUAUAGGGACAGAACGUAAAAGGCCAGGCUUUUCUCAUUUUCAUGGGUGAAUAAUGUUUUUAUUGCACACUUUUUAAUGAGUUAUUCUUACUUAAAUUUAUGCCAGCUCAGCUCUGACUGUAUGGUCUAGAAGGGGACUUCUGAUUUCCUGGACCUGGAGUCACAGGUGGUUAAGCACUUCAGGCAACUAUGGUCUUCACAAUAUGAUGCUGAGAACUAAAUCUUGUCCAGGACACCAUCAAAAUCCAGACAGUCUCCAAUACUUGUAAACCUUUUGAUAGUUGGUAUUUUAGGCAUUAGCCACCACACCCAGGUUCACAUUUACUUUAACCAACUAUCUGUCAAUCAGCAUGAUUGACAUAAUUAUUUUGAAUAAUGCCUAGUCAACAUUAAGAUGAAAAUUCAUCUAACAUAUAUAGGCUCUAUAUCUUUUAGCUUUAUACAAUGAAGGAGAACAAUUCCAUCAUAUACCGCUUUGUGCUUAUAUUUUGAAGAUCACAUUGUCCCUUUCCACCAUGCCAACUUACAUUCCUCAAAUAGUAUGUAAAACUUAUCUUUUCCCCAUAUCUUCCAAAAUAAUUUUAUAUUGUUAUAAAUUAUGUGUCAUAGUGUAGUCUCUGGUGGUUUUGAUAAUAGCUAUUCUUAUCAGUGUUAACUAAAAUCUAGUUAUUGGGUUUUUUUGUUGUUGUUAUUGUUGUUGUUGUUUUGUUCUGCUUUUUUCAGUUCUCUACUGGAAGUUGUGGUGAGCAGAUUUUUCUACAUUUGUUUCCUGUCUGUAUGUCUUUCAUUGGUAUUUUCAAAAACAUCAACAAUAACAAAACUGAAAUCAGGUUAACACUUUUAAUAUCUUCUGUGUCUUUUUAAAUGUGUGGAACUAAGCAAUGAUAAAACAUUGAUAAAAGAGUUCAAAAAGAUAAAUGAAUGGAAAAAAUAAUCCUUAUUCAUGGUCUAGAAGAAUUUUUAAGAUGCCCAUAUUAUCUCAGCAAACCACUACAAAUUGAAAAGUAUUGCUGUCAAAAUGCCAAAGUCAUAUUUCUCAGAAAUAGAUAAUAGAAACCAAAAAAUAAUAUAAAACAACAACAAACCCACAUAGUUCAGUCUUCAGCAAGAAAAAAAAGUUAGGCUAUUUGUUGUCUAACUAUAAAUCUGUAGUAAUAGAGUGUGGUACUGUGUGAAGGAUCCCAGAGACACAAAGAUCUAUUAGAAGAAAGAUUAGGAGUAGACUCUUGCAUAUGAAGCCAGUUAUUUCAUGAGAGUAACAAGAAUGGAUAUUAGCCCAAAAGUAGAGAGUACCUAUGAUACAGCCUGCUGACAAUAAGAAAUGUCACAAGCAGAAGGGAUCAUGUGAGUAUGAUUCAACUACACUCAGAAGGAGCAAGGAAGAGCCUGGUUGGGAGAAGAGAGGAGAAAAUGGAAACAGGAUUAGGAGGGUUGAGAGGAGAGAAGCCCAGAGUGCCAAGAGAAUGAAUGAAGGUAAGCAGCAUCGGGAGUGGAAGUUCAGGGAGGGAGGCUUUAGAAAGCACCAGAGACACAGGAGCUAAGAGACUUUAAGGACUCAGUGAGGUUGACCUUAGCCAAAAUACUGAAUACUGGGAAGACAAAACUCAAACAAACCACCUUUAGUACAUAUACAUGACCUCAAACAGAAGAACAGGGUUACUAGCCCAGAGUCAAAAUUUAUGACCCAGAACUGUUCCUCUUUAAAGGAAGUGCUAGGACAGAAAUAGAGAAGAGACUAAAGAAAGGGCAGUUCAAUGAUUGGCCCAACUUGGAAAACAUCUCUGGAGGGCACCAAGGCCUAAAACUAUUACUGAUGCUGUGAUAUGCUUACAGUGGGAUUCUAGCAUGGUUGUCCUAUAAGAGGCCCUACCAGCAGUUGAUUGAGAAGCAGAUAUUCACACUCAACCAUUGAACUGAAGUCAGGGACCUCUAUUGUUGAAUUAGGGGAAGGAUUGAAGAUGCUGAGGGGGAGAUCAACCCCACAGGAAGGCCAGCAGUCUCAACUUACCACUCCCAGAGACUGGGCCACUAACCAGGAUCAUACUUGUUCUGGCCCAAUGCACCUGACACAAAUAUAGCAAAGGUCUGCUUGGUCAAAUAUAGCAAAGGCCUCAGUGGAAGAAGAUAUGCUUAAUCAUUGAGUGACUUGAAGACCCAGGAAGGGGACAUCUGGUGGGGGAGCACCUUCUUAAGAGACAAAAGGGAUGAGGAGUGGAAUGAAAAACUAUGGGAGAGGGGAAUGAGAAGGGGACUAUGACUGGAAUGUAAAUAAAUAGAAAUACCCUCCCAAUACACUUGAUACAUACAAUGUACAAAAGAGUUAAAAAAAGAAUAGUGCCAUUGAAUUAUAUAAUACAUCUCUUCAUAUAUAUGUAUAUAUAAAUAUAUAUUCAUAUGUUUAUAUUAUAUAUUUAAAUAGUAUAUAAAAUUGUAUUUACAUAUGCUUUAUGAUGUAUAUUUUCUUGGUUUCAAGUAAUUGAUUAUAGAGCAAUAAAAUGAAUUUUUAUACUAAGAAAGAAUAUUUUUUACUGACAUUUACCAAUUACUAAAUAUUAGUGUUAUCAUUAACAGGUAACUAUGUGUAUAAAUAAAUACAUAAAUGAUAUAGUGUUUUUGCAUUUUAUUACAAUAAUGUAAGACUACCCAUAUACAAAUGUGAAAUAUGUGAUGAAAUAAGUUUUGUCUUCCAUAUCAUACCAUGGAGUACAUCAUGGAAGCCAUUCUGCCAUCACUUUAGCUAUUCUAUGGAAUUUUCAACUUAAUUCAUAAGCAAAAGAGUUUAAAAUUUUUUAAAAUUAAUAAAACCAUUAAUUCCUGAAAAGUAGAUUCAUAACGUGGUUUCAUAACACUUAUUUGGGACACAAAGAUAGGUAAUAUAUAGUGGUAGUGACAGCAUUGAAAUCAAUUUCACAAGUAUUUCCUGAAACAGUGAAGUUCCAGAGAUUUCUCUAAGCAAUGAUUAGCAUAAUUGGCAAGUCCAACCUCUGUGUUUGCAAACAAGCAGCUUGCAUUUUGAAAUAGAAACACUGGAAGAACCAUUACAGUUUUGACUGUGAAAUCCCGCUAAUGAAAGCUGCUACCUAUUUUUAAUGCAUAGAAAUUGCCUGACAGUCGACUGCACUGAAUUGGUGUUUUCAUUACUCAGAUAUAAAAGAUACCAAUAAUGUAAGUCACAGCCUAGCAAGACUUCUUAGAUGUUUAAUAUUAAAGGAAGAAAACAAUUAUGCCAUUGUGACCAUAACCAGAGUGUUGAGUGAACACACAGCAAAAAUAUGUCUUCUUUAUGAUAAAAAUUCAGGAAUAUUCAUAUUCAUAAUACAUGCAUUUAAAAACUAAUGCAUUUAAAAAGGUCAUAUAAAAACUUCUAAUUGAAAGUAUUCAAAGAAACAUAAUAUAUGAAAACAUUAAUCCUAUGCUAUAUUUAGAAGCAGAGUACAAUGGAGGUUUAGUCAUAAAUAUUUUCUGUAUAAAUUAGCUGGUAUAGUACACUUGAUGGUGUUGGUGCAUGUGUCAAUAAAUUAAUACUUAGAAAACUGUACUUAAAACUAAAUAUAGUUUUCAUCUACAUAUUAAUAUGAACUUUACUCUCAUAUGAGUGGCUGAAUCUUAGUAUUCUAAUUGUAAUAACAUCAUCAUCAAAACCCUUAACAGUAUAGUUUCAAUAAUUUGAAAGUCAUAAAAUUCCAUAGUUCACAAUCUAUUAGCAUUUCUCAUUUACAUAUGAGAAAAAUUAAACUCAGAGAUAUCAGACAUGUUAUGCAAGUCAUAAUGAUAGUAUAUUAUAGAUGUAAGAUAUAAAGUAAGUAAUUUGAAUGCACAAGGAAAAUGCUUCAGAUAUUCUGAAAUCAUCCCAUUAUUUAAAAGUACCAGCACUUCUCAAUCAUUUAACAUACUAGAAACUUCUUUUUUACUCGUAAUUAGUGACUUCUCAGGUUCCAAUAAAAUUGAGUGGCAAAAUAAAACAACAAAAAUAAAUAUAUAUUUUUAUGUCAGAAAAUUAAAUUUUUGCAAAUUGUUUAAUCAAGACAAUAUGUGCCAAAACAUAAACACAGAAUCUACAUAAUAAUAUGAGUAGUAAUUAUUGAAAAAAUUAUGGUGAAAAUAUGCUUAGAAUUCAAAUGCAAGGCAAACAUUGCACAUAAAGGAUAAAUAAAAAAAAGAAAAUUCCCCCAGGGCUGUAGUGUUAUAACAGAAGUGGCAUUGUGACUUUGGUACAAGUCGAUUAAAUACAUUGUAAACCUUUGGUAGAGUUUGAAGUAACUAUAGUAUUCUGGAAUACAGUCAUCAAGCUCUUCUACACUGUUAAGAUAGGUAACUACCCUAGUAGAGUUGACUUACUCUUUAUGGAACACUAGCAUCAUAUAAUAUCAUAGGAAGCACAGCAUGCCUACAGGUAAAUUUCAGACAUAUAGCUUCAGUAGAACUUCAGAACUCAGAGGCAACCCCUUCUUUAAUUUAAAAAUUGAGAUUACAUUAUAGUCACCUCAUUUUCCCUUCUCUUUUCUCCUUCUAAACAUUCCCAUGCAUUCUCCUUGAUUUCUUUAAAAUUCAUGGCUUCUUUAUCCUUAAGUGUUCUCUCUCUCUCUCUCUCUCUCUCUCUCUCUCUCUCUCUCUCUCUCCCAUGCCCUAUGUGUGUUUGUGUGUAUGUCUCAGUACAUAUAGGUAUUCUAUUCAAUAAUUAACAAGUUUCCAACUUCUUGAACUCAAGAAACAAAACUAAAAAUUAGAUGCCAUAUGAUAUGUUUUUGGAAGGUUCUAUCAUAAAUUCUAAAAAAGAUCCUAGCCCAAAACAUAACAGAAAAUCUGGGACACAAUGAGAAAAUCCUAAGGAUAAUAGGUUUAGAAGAGAGUGAAGACUCCCAACUUGUAAAGCCAGUAAAUAUCUUCAACAAAAUUGUAGAAGAAAACUUCCCUGAUCUAAGGAAAGGGAUGACCAUAAACAUGUAAGAAGCCUACAAAACUCCAAAUAGAUUAGUUCAGAAAAGAAAUUUCUCCUGCCAUGUAAUAGUCAAAGUAGCAAAUGCACAAAACAAAGAAAGAAUAUAAAAAGCAGUAAGGGAAAAAGAUCAUGUAUCAUAUAAAGGCAGACCUAUCAAAAUUACACCAGACUUCUCAACACAGACUAUUAAAGCCAGAGGAUCCUGGACAGAUGUCAUACAGACCCUAAGAGAACUCGAAUGCCAGUCCAGGCUACUAUUUGCAUAAUUCUCAAUUAACAUAGAUGGAGAAACUAAAGUAUUCCAUGACAAUACCAAAUUUACACAAUAUCUUUCCAUAAAUCCAGCUGUACAAAGGAUAAUACUAGAAAACUUCAACACGAAGAGGGAAACUACACCUUAGAAAAAGCAAAAAAAGAAUUCUUCUUUUAACAAACCCAAAAGAAGAGAGCCACACAAAUAUAAAUCCACUCCUAACAACAAAAAUAACAAGAAAGAGCAAUCAUUAUUCUUUAAUAUAUCUCUUAACACCAAUGGAGUCAAUUCCCCAAUAAAAAGCCAUAGACUAACGGACUGGAUAUAUAAAGUGGACCCAACAUUUUGACACCUCAGUGACAAAGACAUACACUACCUAAGAGUAAAAAGCUAGAAAAAAAUUUUCAAAGGAAAUGGUCCCAAGAAAAAAGUUAGAGUAGCCAUUCUAAUAUCAAAUAAAAUCGAAUUUCAACCAAAAGUUAUCCAAAAACAUAAGGAAAGACACUUCAUAUUCACAAAAGAAAAUCACCAAGAUCAAUCCUUAAUCCAGAAGGUCUAUGCUCCAAAUGUAAGGGCACCUACAUUCAUAAAAGAAACUUUACUACAGCUUGAAGCACACAUUAAACCUCAGACAGUACUAGUGGGAGACAUAAACACCCCACUCAUCACUGGACAUAUUAUGGAAACAGAAACUAAGGAAAGAUAUAGAGAAGGUAAGAGAAGUUAUGAACCAAAUGUACUUAAAAGAUAUUUAUAGAACAUUUCAUCCUAAAACAAAAGAUAUACUCUCUUCUCUGUACCUCAGAGUACCUUCUUCAAAAUUGACCACAAUAUCAGUCACAAAACAUGACAAAACAGAUACAAGAAUAUUGAAGUAAUACCAUGUAUCCUAUCAUAACACCAAGGACUAAGACUGGUUUUCAAUAACAACAAAAACUACAGAAAUCCCACGUACACGUCAAACAAUGUUCUGCUCAAUGACAACUUGGUCAAAGAAUAAAUAAAGAAAGAAAUUAAAAACUUUGUAGAAGUUAAUGAAAAUGAAGGCACAACAUAACCAAACAUAUGGACACAAUGAAAGCAGUGCUAAGAGCAAAACUCAUUAUCUCUGAGUGCCACCUCCAAAGAGAAACUGAAGACUACGCUACAUACAUAGUAACUUGAUACACUAGUAACUUGAUAGCACACCUAAAAACUCUAGAACAAAAAGAAGCAAAUACAGCAUAGAGGAGUAAAAAGCAGGAAAUACUCAAACUCAGGGCUGAAAUCAACCAAGUAGAAACAAAAAGAACUUUACAAAGAAUCAACAAAACCAGUAGUUUUUUUCUUUGAGAAAAUCAACAAGAUAGAUAAACCCUUAGCCAGACUAACCACAGGGUACAGAGAGAGUAUCCAAAUUAAGAAAAUCAGAAAUGAAAAGGGAGACAAAGCAACAGAAACUGAGGAAAUUACAAAAAAAUCAUCAUAUCCUACUACAAUAACCUAGAUUCAACAAAACUGGAAAAUCUGAAUGAAAUGGACAAUUAUAGAGACAGAUAUCACAUACCAAAAUUAAGUGAGGAUCAGAUAAACCAUCUAAACAGUGUCAUAACCCCUAAAGAAAUAGAAGUAGUUAUUAAAAUUCUCCCAAUCAAAAAAAUGCCCAGGACCAGAUGGGUUUAGUGGAGAAUUCUAUCAAAGCUUCAUAGAAGACCUAAUUCCAAUACUGUCCAAACUACAGAAUAGAAACAUCAGGAACACUACCAAUUUCAUUCUAUGAAACCACAAUUACACUUGUACCUAAACCACAAAAGAACCAACAAGGAAAGAGAACUUCAGAAUAAUUUCCCUUAUAAAUAUUGACACAAAAAUACUCAAUAGAAUUCUCAAAAAUCAAAUCCAAGAAUACAUUAAAAUGAUCAUCCAUCAUGAUUAAGUAGGCUUCAACUUAGUGAUGCUGGGAUGGUUCAGUAUAUGGAAAUUCAUCAUCAUAAUGCACAAUAUAAAAAAAAACUAAAGAAAAAAUCCAUAUGAACAUCUUAGAUGCUGAGAAAUCAUUGACAAAAUUGAACAACCCUUCAUGAUAAAAGUCCUGGAAAGGUCAGGAAUUCAAGGUCCAUCCCUAAACAUAUUAAAAAUAAUGUACAGCAAACCACUAGUCAACAUCAAACUAAAUGCAGAGUAACUUGAAACAAUUCUACUAAAAUCAGGGAUUAGACAAGGCCAGCCACUCUCUCUCUCCAACAUAGUACUCAAUAUAGUAUUCAAUAUAGUACUCAAAGUCCUAGCCAGAGCAAUUUGACAACAAAAGGAAUUCAAAGGGGUUCAAAUUUGAAAAGAAGAAGUGAAAAUAUUACUAUUUGCAGAUGAUAUGAUAGUAUAAUUAAGUGACCACAAAAGUUCCAUUAGAGAAUUACUAAGCUUGACAAAGAACUUCAGCAAAGUGGCUGGAAGUAAAAUUAACUGAAACAAAUCAUUAGCCUUCCUCUAUUCAAAGGAUAUACAAGCUGAGAAAGAAACUAGGGAAAUGACACCCUGAACAGUAGUCACAAAUAAUGUAAUAUAAUUCUGUGUGACUCUAAUCAAACAAGUGAAAGAUUGGUAUGACAAGAACUUCAAGACUCUGAAGAAAGAUAUUGAAGAAGAUCUCAGAAGAUGGAAAGAACACCCAUGUCCCUGAAUUGGCAGGAUUAAUAUAGGAAAAAUGGCCAUUUUGUCAAGAGCAAUCUAUAGAUUCAAUGAAAUACCUUUCAAAAUUCCAACUCAAUUAAUUCUUCAUUAGAAAAAGCAAUUUGCAAAUUCAUUUGGAAUAAUGAAAAACUCAGGAUAGCAAAAACUAUCCUCAACAAUAAAAGAUCUUCUGGGUGAAUCACCAUCCCUGAACUCAAUCUGUAUUAUAGAGCAAUAUGGACAGAACUGUAUAAUAUUGGUACAUAGAAAGGCAGGUAGAUUAAUGGAAUAGAAUUGAAGACCUAGAAACCAUGGUCACUUGAUUUUGACAAAAAUGCUGAAACCAUUCAGUGGAAAAAAGAUAGCCUUUUCAAUAAAUGGUGCUGAUUCAACUGGAGGUUAGGAUAUAGAAGACUACAAAUCGAUCUACUCUUAUCUGCCUGUACAGAGCUCAAGUCCAAGUGGAUCAAGGACCUCCACAUAAAACCAAAUACACUCAAACUAAUAGAAGACAAAGUGGGGAAGAGUUUCAAACACAUGGGCACUGGGGAAAAUUUCCUGAACAGAACACCAAUGGUAUAUUCUCUAACAUCAAGAAUUGACAAAUGGAACCUCACAAAAUUGCACAGCUUCUAGAAGGCCAAGGAUACUGCCAUUAGAACAAAAUGGCAACUAACAUUUUGGGAAACGAUUUUUACCAAUUUUAUAUCCAAUAGAGGGCUAAUAUCCAAUAUACACAGAGAAUUCAAAAAGUUAGACUCCAGAGAAUCAAAUAACCCUAAUAGAAAAUGGGUUACAGAGCUAAUCAACAAUUCUCAGCUGAGGAAUAUCAAAUGGCUGAGAAGUACCUACAGAAAUAUUCAACAUCCAUAAUCAUCAGUGAAAUAAAAAUCAAACCCUGAGAUUCCACCUCACAACAGUCAAAAUGACUUAGAUAAAAAUUCAGGUGAAAAAAUAUUCUAGUGAGGAUGUGGACUAAGAGGAAUAUUCCUCCAUUGUUGGUGGAACUGCAAACUGGCACAAUCACUCUGGAUAUCAUUCUGGGGGUACCUCAAAAUUUUACAUAGUUCUACUUGAGGACUCAGCUAUACCACUCCAGGGCAUAUACUCAAAAGAUGUUCUAACAUAUAACAAGGGCACAUGACCUUGUGUUCAUAGCAGCCUUAUUUUUAAUAAGCAGAAGCUAGAAAGAACCCAGAUUUCCUUCUACCAAGGAAUGGAUACAUAAAAUGUGGUACAUCUACCUAAUGGAGUACUACUCAGCUAUUAAAAAAUGACUUCAUGAAAUACAUAGGCAAAUGGAAGGAACUAGAAAAUAUCACCCCGAGUGAGGUAACCCAAUCACACAAAAACACACAUGGUAUGCACUCUCUUAUAAGUGGAUAAGCCCAAAACCUCGAAUUACCCAAGGUACAAUCCAUAGACCACAGGAAGCUCAAGAAGAAGGACAUCCAAGUAUGGAUGCCAUUCAGACCCUGUCCCACCUGGGAAUCCAGCCCAUAUAUAAACCUAGACAAUAUAGAUGAAGCUAAGAAGCACAUGCUGAUACUCCUAUCAGAAAUAGCUGUCUUCUGAGAGGUUCUAACAGUGCACGACAAUUAUAGAAGCAAAGGGUAGCAAUCAACCAUUGAACUGAGAAAGGGCUCCACAUUGGAGGAGUUAGAGAAGAGAUUGAAGGAGCUGAAGGGGCUUGCAAUCUCAUUAGAAGAACAAUACCAACUGACCAGAGCUCCCAGGGACUAAACCACCACCCAAAGUGUACACAUGGCUCCUGCUACAUAUGUAGCAAAGAAUGGCCUUGUUGAGCACCAAUGGGAGCAGAAGCCCAUGGUCCUGCCAAGGCUGGAGCUCCCCCUCCCUGCUUUAGUGGAAUGCCAGGGCAGGAAGGCAGAAUGGGCUGACUGGUUGGGAAUGGGGACACACUCAUAGAAGAAGGGGAGAGAGGAUUAGAUAGUGGUUUAUGUAUGGGAAACCCGGGAAAGGGGAUAACAUUUGAAAUGUAAAUUAAGGUAUCCAAACAAGAAAAAAAAAAGAAACAGUGAUAGGACAGUGAAAGGUACUGCCCAUUCAUGGCCUCA